AACCGUAUUUAAAGGGCCAGAAGGAGGAGGAAAAGUAAUAGUGGAGCUGGCCUCACAGUGCUUACAGUCUGUGGGCUAGUUUCAAACAAGG
rnacentral:snoRNA from 1 species